AGCAAGCUAACUCUUAAAAUGGCUAUUGAGAUAGCAACUGAGGUGGCUCCUGAUCCAGCAGCUGAGGUCGUUAGCCAAUUGAUGUCAGAUGCUACUCUUGCCACUGCAGCAUCCUAACCAGUUGCCGAGGUGGCUCCUCAACCUUCAGUGGAGGUUCCUCCUCAGACAAACACCAAGGUCCUAACUGUCGAGGUCAUAUCG
rnacentral:lncRNA from 1 species